ensembl:lncRNA
GGCACAAGGGGAGAGGAACUCAAUAUCUCCCGUUAUACCAAGCCAGAGACUGUGCAGCCAGUCAUCUCAGACCACACCAACAACUCCAUCACAGUGAAUUGGAGUCGUCCUAAUGGAAAUGUGGAGUCGUUUGAGGUUCUCCUGAACAGCAGCAGUAACAGCAUCAGGAGCCUUCCGCUGGAUUCAAGUUUCAACUCCUAUGAGUUUAAAAACUUGUCAGCUGGGAAGAUAUACACAGCCACUGUCACAACAAAGAGUGGGCCCUUUAGUGAAGAAUCUGAAGUCACUACCAAUGCAACGUGUGAGUAUCUGAAAACUCACUCUCAAUACAAAGAUGUGUGUAUCAGAAAAUAUGGCAUCUGUCUGAUAACAUCAGGAUUCAGUAAUUAAUCAAGUUCUUCCUGUAACAAGUUGUUUCUUCCACAAACUCCACAUGAUUGGAGUUUCACCGUAGUCACCCAACUUUCAGAGUAACAAGAACAUUUACAAUUCCUUUUUUUGGUCAUGUAGAACUGAUAAACACAUCUGGACGAUACAAUAUGAUAGUUUUCUGCUUUGGGUUGGAAACCACAUGAAAACAUACACAAACAGCUUAUAUGGCACAUUGUCACCAAGUAUAUCAGAGAAAUCCAUCAGUUAUCAGUGUUGUGUACUAAACAAAGGAAAUGAUGGCUGGAUUUGAAUCUUCUCUUUUUCCAGAUCCUAACCCUCCAAGAGAUAUUUUUAUCAAGAAAAAGACUACAAAAUCCAUUUUUGUUGAGUGGGCCCCUGCCUUCUUCAUGGAUGACUCAGAUGGUUUUAACUACACCGUGAUCAUUAGUAGUUCAUCAGGGACUGCAGACUAUAGUACCAA